AGCUGAAACCUAAGAAGGAGCCAUUCAUCAGCAUAAACAAGGUCAAGGCGGCCCAUGGCACAAGCAAUCCCUUGAAACACUGGGGCAAGGAACCCUCUCAACUCUGUUUCCAGCUGGUGGCACACGGCGGUAGUGACAUUGAUCAUUGGCAAGCUCUGGAUAUUAAGGAAAGGUAUACAAGUAUACUGAAUGCCUGCUCUGCAUCUGGUAUCAUUCUCAGCAAUGGGGAGACAGAUGAGCUUCCCACCCAAGAUGCCUACAUGUGUGAGAAGAACAAGGAGAUGACAAGAUCAUCAUAGAGAGUGGCCUGUUAUAGAGAUGUAAGGAGAUGAGGUAUGUGAAAUGCUUAGCCCUGGGCCCAACACACAUUGAACAAAGAGGAGUGUGACUUGGUUUGGGCUGCCAUGAUGUAUACCAUCGAUUGGGAGGCUAAACAACAAACGUUUAUUCAUAUGAUUUCACCUUCUUGAGAAUCCAGCGAUGAAAACAUUCUCGUCCUAAUUUUAGUGAUGAAAAAACUGAAUUAGAGCAACUCAAAAGUAAGUUGCAGAACCAAGAUUUGAACCUAGAUCUUUAGGUAUAGCACUGAGGCUCUGAAACAUCAAUGGUGACUUGGGACGUGGUGGCUGGUAGAAGCAGUUCAAGAUUGGCCAACACCAAGGACACAGCUUCUCUAUCCUUCUCUUUAUCCCAUAACCUGAGGCUAUUGGUACCCCUGGCCAUCUCAGGUUGGGUAUCUUGGUGUUAAGCAUCAUGUGCAAAUGAUAACCUCCAAAACUGGCACUGAGACCCACCUUCCCUGCAAAUCUUAUUGAGAACAGGGGAACAUUUCCCAAAAGCAGCCCCAGCAAACUUCCCCUGUCAUCUUUUUGGCCAGAAUUGUGUCUCCUGACCAUACCCAGCCUAAAUAUAUAUCUGCCUUAGACAGAUAAAUAUUCACCCUCAGGAGUUGAGAAAGGGCCACAGUUGCUCCUCCAGGACAUAAACACAGAGAAGAGUGAAGAACUGGAAUUCUGUUCAUGUUUCAGUUGUUAUCAUUGCUUAAGAAACAUCCUUAAACUUGGUGGCAUAAAAUAGCAAUGGUUUAAUUGUGCUCAGAGAUCAUUUGGAAAAGAUGGCAGGGAUGGUUAGUAUCUCUUUGAUGACAUCUAAGGCUUCCGUUGGAGGGAUUAAAUGAUUGGGGGACUAGAUAAUUAUCUGGAGUCUUCUUUACUCACCUGUGUGAUACCUGGGCGAAAUGACCCAAAGGCAAAGCUCAGGCAGGAAGUUAACCAGAGUACCUCCACCUGCCCCACCAUGUGGCUUGGGCUUCCCCCUAGCAAGAUGGCCUCAUGGGAGUCAGACUUCUAACCAUGCUUCCCUGGGCUCCAAAUGUGAGUGUUUCCACAAACAACCUCCAGAGUUCCAGGGCAUCGCCUUCGNUAUAAAUGACAAACUUUUAUGUCCCCUAUUGAUAUGCAUGUGGCAUGAUGAGUCUCAGCAUCUGAAACUCAUUGAGGAGGGGCUCCUUCCAAUUUGCCCAGAGUACACAGCAGUUAAUCUCUGAGGUCUGUAUUCUAAGGCUGCACCAUUUAGGAGAAAUGUAAUGUGAGCUGCACAUAAAACUUGAGUGCAUUUAACCCAAUACAUGCAAAAUCUUAUCAACGUGUGAUCAAUUUUGAAAAUAUUAAUGAGGUAGAUAAACAUUAUUUUAUUCCAUACUAACUAUUCAGAAUCCAGUGAGUAUUUUGACCUACAGCAUAUUAUAGUUUAACUCAUUUCAAGUGCUUCAAAAGUGCUAGUGGUUACUCUUACCAGGCAGUGCAGUUCUAAACAUCCCAAGGGCCAGCCACCAUGGCACUCAGCUUUAAUACCAGUGACUCAGGGGGCUGAAACAGGAAGAUCACAAGUUCAAGGACAGCCUCAGCAACUCUGUGAGACCCCUAGCAACUUGUCUCAAAAUAAAAAAAAUAAAAAGAGCUGGGUGCAGUGGUGUACACCUGUAAUCCCAAAGACUCCGGAGACUAAGGCAGGAGGAUUUCAAGUUCAAGGCCAGUCUCAGCAAUUGAAUAAAGCCCUAAGCAACUUAGCCAGACCCUGUCUCGAGAGAAAAAAAUUGAAAAAGAGCAAGGGAGGUGGCUCAGUGAUUAAGUGCCUUGGGGUUCAAUUCCAGAUGCCCCCACACACAUCAAAAUUAAAAAGAUAAAAAGGACUGAGGGUGUAGCUCAGUGGUAGAGCAUAACUGGGCUCCAUCCCCAGUACUUAAGAAAAUAAAAGAUCCCCAAUAGAGGUCCCAAGUGCCUAAAACUACGAUUGUCCGUAAAAAAAAAGUGUUACUAUCUUCAUGAAAACCAAGCAGGCAUCAAUUCUAAGAAGCAGUCUUACUUCAAAUGCCAUUUGCCAAUUUAAUUAGGAAUGCCAUAAAUUGAUAAUAAAUUCAAUGGUAAUAAAUUUUAAAAAGUGUGACUUGGAGCAAUUUUCUAUAUGUAGACAGUAAUUUCCCCUAAGGUCCCUGACCCCAGGGAAGGCUGUGAAGUGACAAAGCCAAUGUUUUCAGUGCUGUCACCCAUUUGGUGUAAUGAUCCCACAAGAUGCUGUAUCUCCCCUCUGACCCUCUCUACUUAAUUCCUGCCAGUCCUUGACAUAAUUAUUAAUAGCUGGCAAAGAAGGGCUAUGGUCUAAAUGUUUGCACCCCCCAAAAUUCAUGUGUUGAAAUCUUAACUGCCAAGGUGAUGGGGUUAGGAGGUAGUCGCUAUUAGGUCGGGAGGACAGAGCUCUCAUGAGUGAGAUGCCUGCCCUUAUUAAAGGCUCCAAAGAGGUUCCUUGCUCCUUCCACCAUGUGAGGAUACAGUCUGCACUCUGCAGUCUGGAAGACGACCCUCACCAGAGCCCAGCCAUGCUGAAACCCUGAUCUUGGACUUUUAGCCGCCAGAACUGUGAGAAAUAAAUUCAUAGUGUUUAUAAGCCGGCCAUUAGGUGGUAUUUGGUUAUAAGGGCCUCAGUGAACUAAUCCAGGGAGUGUCAGUGAUAAGCACGCACUGCAUUAUGGGAAUCCUUGAUAUGACCCUUGAAUUUUCAAAGAGAUCCUCUAAACUGCAACAUUUAUUGAGCAUAGUGCUAUGCGUUGAGUUCAUCUAAUCCUCCAGCAACCUCUAAGAAAAACUUUAUUUCAUUUCUAUAGGCAAAAAGAAAGAAAGAGAGAGAGAAAAAAAAGAAAGAAAGAGAGAGAGAGAGAGAAAGAGAGAGAGAAAGAAAGAAAGAAAGAAAGAAAAGAAAAGAAAGAGAAGUUAAGACACUUAUCCAAGGUCAAAUUGUGUCUCAAUGGCAAAUUUAGCUUUGGAGCUUAAGUUGGUAGAAUUCAUGAGCCCAGGUAUUUCCUUGAAAACCAAAAAGGGGAAUGAUUGAUAGAGGCAGAUGAGAGCUAAGGUCCCAGAAGACAACUACUUACUAGAGCUCUUCUUCCUAAACCCACUCAUCCCUUCUCAAUGGACAUAACUCUUGAACUGUGGGUGGCUUCCUCCAUCAGAAUCACCAUCAAAUGUCAGCGCUGGCCACAGUCCUUAGCCACCUUGGUGAGUCAGCUGGUUUCCUUCACAAGGCUUGGGGGAGUGCUAGCAAUGGGCAAUCCCCUCUCAAAAUGCGCCCUCCUGAGCUCCAGGGAACGCCUGGGUGCACAGCAGCUGUGCAAACGCACACAAAAGGGUCGCAUGUGCACUUGGGAGGUGAGAGUCCGCACAGCUGAGUGAUCACAGCUUAUCGCUCACGACACGAGGGCCACACAGCUGCAAUUCUCCAGAGCCUGGCAGCUAGGGUUGGGCAGAUAUUAUUUGCUUUUCUUGUCUUUUGGCUUGACAGCAGCGACCCAAAGACCUUGGCCAGGUCUAAAGGGCCGCCCGGCAAGCCAGCCAGAUGGAAUUCCAACCCAGACAGAGAGCUGAAACCUAAGAAGGAGCCAUUCAUCAGCAUAAACAAGGUCAGGGCGGCCCAUGGCACAAGCAAUCCCUUGAAACACUGGGGCAAGGAACCCUCUCAACUCUGUUUCCAGCUGGUGGCACACGGCGGUAGUGACAUUGAUCAUUGGCAAGCUCUGGAUAUUAAGGAAAGGUAUACAAGCAAAGAGUUGUGGGACCCCUUAAUAGAGAAAAAAGUAAAAGGGGUGGUGCAGGCCCUGUCGAUAAUGUGGAUUAGAUCCAGACUCCCUUACAGAAGAAUUUUCUCUGCCACUUUGAGCUAAGAGUCAGAAUGUUUCAAACAGCCACCUCUCCGGGACAUUGUUACCAUUUAAAGAUACUUUACGAAUACCUGGUUCAAGCCUACCUACAAAGAUUUGCACCAAGUUAUUUUCACCAUUAUUCUCCAAUUCCUAGGUAUUUGGAAUAUAAUAACUAGAACUGCUGCUAGGAUAGCAAACAGCCCCACGACAAGACAAGCCCUGGCUAGCUCAGGAUCCUGAGUGAGCUACUCGCUUGGCCCCGCCCCAUGUGAUGCUGUCACUGUACUUCUCGCCAGCUCAUCCUGUGUGGGGCAGAACUAAGAGCCUGUGCCAUGAUCCCAAGCAGUGAAGAUUCAUCCCUGUGCGCUGCAGUGUGGGCCUCAACUGCUCAAUCCUAAUCCUACAGAGAACAUCCUUCAUUUCUCAACAACCCUCAGAGCAAAACCAAAUUUCACUCAGAGUUCUCUUUCUCAUGCACUUCCCCUGAUGGUGAUUUGAAUCCUGGUAACUCUAAGUUUGUAAAAAGGGACGCCAUUUUAUCCUGAGACCCCAGGUUUGGCUAGCCAGAGGCAAGUACUCCCCACCCAAUGCGGAGGAGGUUUGGAGGCAGGAUCAUUGUCCUGAUGGGUCCAAAGGACCCACUUGUAACCAAGGUGCCCAUCAUGGGACUCUUAGGGGAGCCAACAGCCUAAGGUGACAAGCCACAUACUGAAAGUGACAGAAUGAAGAGAAGGAUGGAGAAGCUGUGUCCUCAGUGAUGGUCAAUCCGGGAGCAAAGAGGAUUUCCUCAAGCCUGAGGUUUAAUGUUGUUUACACUGUUAGGUUUUGGACUUAUUUGGGACCUAUUGCCCUUUCUGCUGUCCCCUUUCUCCCUUGUGGAAGAGAAGGUCUGUCCCGUGCAGUCCCUCAACUGUAUCUGGGAAGCACAUACCUCAUUUGGUUUCACAUGCUCACAACUGGAAAAGGAUUUUGCCUCUGGAUGAAUCUUACCUUGAAUCUCAUCUGUUUCUGAUUUAGAUAAUAUUUAUUUGAGACUUUGGACUUUAGCAUUUAGAAUUGAUGCUAAAAUUAGUUAAGACUUUUGGAGCUAUUGGGAUGGGAUGAAUAUAUGUUGCAUGCAAAAAUGGCAUGAAUUUGGGGAUUUGGAGUAGAAUGCUACAGCUUGAAUUUUUGUACCCCUCACCCCACCAAUUUUUUGAAAUCCUAACUUACUAUGUGAUAAUAUUAGGAGGUAGGGUCUUUGAGAAGUGAUUAGGUCAUGAGGGUAAACCCCUCAUGAAUGGUAUUAUUGUCCUCAAGUGCCUGGUUCAUCCAGGUGUGAUGGCAAAUGCCUGUAAUCUCAAUAACUUGGAAGCCUGUGGCAAGAGAAUGGCAAGUUCAAAGUCAACUUCAGCAAUUUAGUGAGGACUUCAGCAACUUAGGGAGAACCUGUGUCCAAAAUAAAUAACUAAAAAAAAAAAUAGUUAGGUCUGGGGAUGUGGCUCACUGGUUAAGCAUCUAUGGGUUCAAUCUCUGGUUAAAAAGUGUGUGUGUGUGUGUGUGUGUGUGUGUGUGUAAAGACCUCAAGGAGCUCUCGUGCUCUUUUUCCACUGAGUGAGGGCACAGAACAAAGACAGCCAUCUAUGAUCCCGGAAAAGGGCCCUCACCAGAUCCCAACCUUGUAGUGCCUUGGUGUUGGGUUUCACAGCCUCCAGAACCAUGAGAAUAAACGUUUGUUGUUUAGCCUCCCAAUCGAUGGUAUACAUCAUGGCAGCCCAAACCAAGUCACACUCCUCUUUGUUCAAUGUGUGCUGGGCCCAGGGCUAAGCAUUUCACAUACCUCAUCUCCUUCCAUCUCUAUAACAGGCCACUCUCUAUGAUGAUCUUGUCAUCUCCUUGUUCUUCUCACACAUGUAGGCAUCUUGGGUGGGAAGCUCAUCUGUCUCACCCUAAACCAUUUCCCCAUUGCUGAGAAUGAUACCAGAUGCAGAGCAGGCAUUCAGUAAGACCUUAUUAUGUGAAUGAUUUCACCUUCUUGAGAAUCCAGCGAUGAAAACAUUCUCGUCCUAAUUUUAGUGAUGAAAAAACUGAAUUAGAGCAACUCAAAAGUAAGUUGCAGAACCAAGAUUUGAACCUAGAUCUUUAGGUAUAGCACUGAGGCUCUGAAACAUCAAUGGUGACUUGGGAAGUGGUGGCUGGUAGAAGCAGUUCAAGAUUGGCCAACACCAAGGACACAGCUUCUCUAUCCUUCUCUUUAUCCCAUAACCUGAGGCUAUUGGUACCCCUGGCCAUCUCAGGUUGGGUAUCUUGGUGUUAAGCAUCAUGUACAAAUGAUAACCUCCAAAACUGGCACUGAGACCCACCUUCCCUGCAAAUCUUAUUGAGAACAGGGGAACAUUUCCCAAAAGCAGCCCCAGCAAACUUCCCCUGUCAUCUUUUUGGCCAGAAUUGUGUCUCCUGACCAUACCCAGCCUAAAUAUAUAUCUGCCUUAGACAGAUAAAUAUUCACCCUCAGGAGUUGAGAAAGGGCCACAGUUGCUCCUCCAGGACAUAAACACAGAGAAGAGUGAAGAACUGGAAUUCUGUUCAUGUUUCAGUUGUUAUCAUUGCUUAAGAAACAUCCUUAAACUUGGUGGCAUAAAAUAGCAAUGGUUUAAUUGUGCUCAGAGAUCAUUUGGAAAAGAUGGCAGGGAUGGUUAGUAUCUCUUUGAUGACAUCUAAGGCUUCCGUUGGAGGGAUUAAAUGAUUGGGGGACUAGAUAAUUAUCUGGAGUCUUCUUUACUCACCUGUGUGAUACCUGGGCGAAAUGACCCAAAGGCAAAGCUCAGGCAGGAAGUUAACCAGAGUACCUCCACCUGCCCCACCAUGUGGCUUGGGCUUCCCCCUAGCAAGAUGGCCUCAUGGGAGUCAGACUUCUAACCAUGCUUCCCUGGGCUCCAAAUGUGAGUGUUUCCACAAACAACCUCCAGAGUUCCAGGGCAUCGCCUUCGGGAUUCAGCCAAGGAAGUCCCACAUUGCAACUUCCCAUCACCCUCUGUUGGUGGAAUCUCUCCCAAGACUCAAAGGGAGAGUAUAAACACUCUUCUUCAGUGGAAGGAUAUCAAAAAUUUGAAAGUAUUUCUUAAUAAUCACACUUCCAGAAAACAUCUUGCAAAUUUUUCCCAUAGCCAAUACCCUGUUUAACCAUGAGGCUGCAAGACAGACAACCUACCCUUCGAUUUCAUCUAUAAUUUAGCCACCAGUAAGGUUAGUACUUUUCAAAAUACGUGAGAGACACUAGGAGUUGUAAAGUUCAAUGAGAAAGAAUGGGCUGGUUUACAGUGACGUUUCUUUAGUUUUUCCCCUUGGUUACAAGUUCUCUCCGUCCUUCCUCACAGGUUCCACCACUCUUACGGACUGGACCUUUGAGCCUCGUUUGCUCCAGUUUAUCCAUCUGUAAAAUGGAGGUGGCCAUUCCCUGGAGGAGGAGGUGCCUGACAUUCCUUUUCUGUAUUCACAACAGACUUUAAGGUCCUUGGAGACAGUGCUGUUUAAAUGCAAAAUGUUGUGACUAUCAUUUCGUUAUUUGAAAACCUAAACAGCAUGAGGAUGCUUCUGUUGCCCCGUUGCUAGGUUACUGACAGACCUCCCUGCCUGCUCUGAGAUGUGCAAACGCGCUGCUGCUUUGCACCCGGGCAGCCUUUCCUGGGCUGAGGAGGAGGUGGGAGAGAGGGUUGGCCUAGAGUCAAACUGCUGUGGGCAUCACUGGGAAAAGAGAGUGUUUUGCUUCCAGGUACUACGGCUGUGUUUGUUUGCUCUUGGAAUUCCACAAAUCAACCUCAUAUAUCAAUGCUAACCAACAGCAGAGCUUGACCCUGGCAAAGUUCAGAUCGCUUCACUAAAUGAGUCAAGACCAUACGUGCUUUAUUGUCCAGAGAGUACAGAAUGAGGUAACCAAACAUGGCAAGCAAAUAAUAAUACCUGGGACACCGUCCAUUCACUCAAAGCCUGACGUCGCCCUUCUGACACAUUUGCCCACAUUUUUUUUUAAAGAGGAGAGACAAAUCUCAUGCUAUUAAUAUUGUACCAUUAAAAAGAUUCCUUCUACGGCCAAGUCAUCUCCUGUUGACAGCCCCACCGUAGAUGCUAUUGUAAAGUCUAAAGAAAGAUAAGCUCUCCAGAUAUGAUAUUUAGAUACAGUGACAAGUAAUUACACACAUUCACAAAAGAAGGAGCUCUUGCUCUGUGUCCCUCCAGGUGAGGACGAUUUAUUGAAUAUCUUCUACAGCUGGAGAAAAACUUUCUGGCAGCUUUAUCUAGUGAGUCUUUGUGUCUUUCAUAAUGAUUUAAGCCAGGCAGAAGCAUCCCGACUCUCAAAAACCCAGAGAUAUUUUCUCCCUGGCCAUGUAACCGUGAAGAAUAAUUUUAGAAAAUUCUGAAAUGAUCUCAUCAAUGGGGAUGUGCUAUUCAGUAUUCCUCUGAAAUCCUCUACCCAUCUGUUUCCCUCUAGAGCGACAUGGGAGGAAAAAAAGCAAAGAAACCAAUAAAGUUGUUACACACAAACAGAGGAAAGGAGGGAAGGAGAAAGGCAAAGUCGAAAGGAGACAGAUGGAGAUCAAGCUUCUGGAGAAAUCUUCCCGGACAAGGCAGGGGAGUCCAGACAAGUCUUCCUUGGAAAACCACAAAGUUCGUUCAUGUCAACAAGGAUUAACUGGACAAGUUCUCUGUGCCAGGCCUGUCCCAGGUGUCGGGAAGCAUCAGUGAGCCCUGCCAGGGAUGCAGAUCAGUCAGAGCAACCAGGGAAGUGCAGGAAUGUAUGUGCACUGACAGAUCACAGUGGCCGCUAUAAAAAGAAACCCAGUGGCUGUGGUGAAUGUGUGUAACUAGAAGACAUAAUUUCUAUGGGCAGAUCAUGGAAGACCUCACUGAGGAGGUGACAUUUGCUCCUGAGAAACACUAGUAAUCUGUAAAAGGUGGCUGGAAAAGAAGCCAGCCCAGCAGAGGCUCAUCGGUGUGUAUGCACAACACUGGGACCUAGUCCCCAAGGGGACCAGAAAAGAAAGUGGACCUCAUUUGUUCACUGCAUUUGGAAUGAGAAAUGCAUGCUGAGCUGCAACCUGUGGGCUCUCUCUGCCCCUCCCUCCCUUUCCCAGGGUCCCUGAGGGGAUACUUGUUCUGUUUGGAAGAUGGUUGGUUCCCACUAGCUCUCUCUUAGGUCUGGAGUGAAGUCAAAGAAAAUUGUCUGGUUGGUUUUUGUAAUUUGGCCUGUUAUUCUCUUUCGUUCCUUGUUGUCUUUCACAGACUCUUUACCAUCUUUUACCCACAUAAGCGCCCACUCCAUCCCUUGAUAUAUAAUUAAAUGCUUCCCAAGAAUCCAGCUGUCAAUAAGGCUUUGCAGUAAGCCACCUUCCACAACAAAAUGGGAAAGGAUCUCAAUGUGUACACAAGGUGAAUUUAUGUUAUGCCAACUUAAAAUAAAUAAAUAAAUAGGGUUUCUGGGGCAGGGAGAAAAACCAAACAUUUCUCUUGAUGUUGAAAGACUUCCUCAAGAGGACUCAUCUUACAAAACCUCUAGCAGUGCUGUCGAUUAGCUACAAAUUAAGUGAAAAUCAUAUAAACUCUGUGGGAAAAACCUAAUACUGUCUCUGAAGCCUUGAACCAUUUUCUGAAUGUGGUACAGCCACAUCCUCCGGAUGCUGGGAGCCUGGGCAGAGAAGGAAGGCAAAAUUCACAAGAACUGGAUCCACUUAUUCAGAGUCACAUCUGCCGUCCUGCAAUAAACAUUCUAUAUGCAAAUUGCCUCAAGUGACUUUCCAGAAAUUGACUAGUUUCUUUCGCUCUAUCUUAACACCAAAAGAAAUUGGAAACAUUUUUAUGGCUUAUGUCCAUAAUACAUUCCUUCAGUGUGUGCUGUGUUAUCUGCCAAUAUAUUAAACUCUUCUUUUAGUACUUGCUAAUGCAUCGACAGUUCGUAUUUUUGUGACCACAGGGGGUAAAAAAAAGGCUUUCAAAAUUUUUCAUCCAAAUGAGAGCUAUUAAUGGCUACCACCAAAGUGAGUUCAAGCUUCUAUUGUUCCAGAAAUUAAAUUGUUUCAAAGAGAAGUAGGAAAAGUUGUGCAGAUUAAAACCAUUUAUGAUGUAGAAAUUAAGCCCCAUUCAUCUGGAAAUGAAAAGUCUUGGGUGGACCGGGUGCUCUGCUUUGAGUUAUUCUGUCCUGGCCAUAAAGCUCUGGACACUUUGUUGCAAAAGAAUUUCCAUCUAAGCUUUGUAAUCCAAUUAAAGAGAUCAAGUAAAGCCACUGUCCAUCAUG
rnacentral:lncRNA from 1 species